rnacentral:lncRNA from 1 species
AGGGCAGCCUGGCGGCGCCCAGGGAUAAAGGUGUGUGGUCCUGGCGCUGACCUGCUGCCGCGGUCCCUGUUGCCACAGGGCAGUGGCCUCCCUGCCUUUCUUGCCUCCCGUCGUUUCUCACUCCCUCUCCUUCGUCUCGGCCGCAGCCCCCGCCCAGCCUGCCCUCCAUGUCUGCCUCCGGGAACCCUUUUGAGAUGCAGGUGAGUGUAAAGUGCUGACCACUUGCCACUGAACAUAGUUGAAACAGAAAAUAGGAAGAUGGCAGCAAACUCUUCUGGACAAGACUGGCCCUGAGCUAACAUCCACGCCCAUCUUCCUCUGCUUUAUAUGUGGGAUGCCUACCACAGCAUGGUGUGCCAAGCGGUGCCAUGUCCACACCCGGGAUCCAAACUGGCAAACCCCCGGGCUGCCGAAGCGGAACAUGCAAACUUGACUGCUGCGCCACCGGGCCAGCCCUGUUCUUAUUUUUUUCAUCUUAGUUUUGUCUUAUCUUAGACUUCAUAUUAAAUGGAAUCAUAAAGUGUAUACUCAUUUGUGGCCAACUUCUUUCACUCAAGAUACCGUUUGUGAGAUUCCUCUAUGUUGUGCCUUGUAUCACUAGUUAAUUCCUUUUUGUUGCGGAGUGAUAUUCCAUUUAAUGAAUUUACCACAAUUUGUUUAUUCAUUCUCCUGUUUGGGGUGCUCUGGGGUUGUCUCAGUUUUGGCCAUCGUGAAUAAAGCUGCUUUGACUGUUUGUAAGUCUUUUUGUAGAUAUUUGGAUAAACA